rnacentral:lncRNA from 8 species
AUGAGUAUUAUGGCAAGGCCAAGUGUUUUUAGGCCAGUACGCGCUAUACCAGUGCCCAGCAUUUACCAGGGGGUAGUGGGCAUUCAGCCAGAAAGGGCGAUGCCAGGUUUAAGCUCGAGACCGCCAGUAAGCCUCCAAGGUCCUAUAUAUCCUGUUCCCGCUCCACGCACUAGCCUAGAGGUGCGUGUUCCCAGUCUGGCACGUCCAGUACCAGCACCACGCACCAGGUUUCAAGUGCAUCAGCCCAGUCCGACUCGUCCUGUUCCCGCUCCCCGCAUUAGCCUGGAACUAGGUGUUCCCAGUCUGGCACGUCGAGUACCAGCACCACGCACCAGGUUUCAACUGCGUCAGCCCAGUCCGACUCGUCCUGUUCCCGCUCCCCGCACUAGCCUGGAGGUGCGUGUUCCCAGUCUGGCACGUCGAGUACCAGCACCACGCACCAGGUUUCAAGUGCGUCAGCCCAGUCCGACUCGUCCUGUUCCCGCUCCCCGCACUAGCCUGGAGGUGCGUGUUCCCAGUCUGGCACGUCGAGUACCAGCACCACGCACCAGGUUUCAAGUGCGUCAGCCCAGUCCGACUCGUCCUGUUCCCGCUCCCCGCACUAGCCUGGAGGUGCGUGUUCCCAGUCUGGCAUGUCGAGUACCAGCACCACGCACCAGGUUUCAAGUGCGUCAGCCCAGUCCGACUCAUCCUGUUCCCGCUCCCCGCACUAGCCUGGAGGUGCGUGUUCCCAGGCUGAUAACCCCAGUACCAGCACCACGCACCAGGCUUCCAGUGCGUCGGCUCAGUCAGAAGUCGCCAGAGCUGCCCGUCAGUCAGGAGUCGCCAGAGCUGCCCGUCAGUCAGGAGUCGCCAGAGCUGCCCGUCAGACAGGAGUCGCCAGAUCUGCCCGUCAGUCAGGAGUCGCCAGAGCUGCCCGUCAGUCAGGAGUCGCCAGAGCUGCCGUCAGUCAGGAGUCGCCAGAGCUGCCCGUCAGUCAGGAGUCGCCAGAGCCGCCUCUGA